rnacentral:rRNA from 1 species
UGAACGCUAGCGACAGGCCUAACACAUGCAAGUCGAGGGGCAGCACAAGGAGCAAUCUGAGGUGGCGACCGGCGCACGGGUGAGUAACACGUAUGCAACCUGCCUGUAAGCGGGGAAUAACCCGUUGAAAGACGGACUAAUACCGCAUAAUACUAAAUUACUGCAUGGUAAUUUAUUUAAACAUUUAUGGCUUACAGAUGGGCAUGCGCAUGAUUAGCUAGUUGGAGAGGUAACGGCUCCCCAAGGCAACGAUCAUUAGGGGUUCUGAGAGGAAGGUCCCCCACACUGGUACUGAGACACGGACCAGACUCCUACGGGAGGCAGCAGUGAGGAAUAUUGGUCAAUGGACGAGAGUCUGAACCAGCCAAGUCGCGUGCAGGAAGAAUGUUCCCUAUGGAUUGUAAACUGCUUUUGCAGGGGAAUAAAGUGCAUCACGUGUGAUGUUUUGUAUGUACUCUGCGAAUAAGGAUCGGCUAACUCCGUGCCAGCCGCCGC